rnacentral:sRNA from 1 species
UCUCUCGGCCUUAGCGCCAUUUUUUUGGAAACCUCUGCGCCAUGAGAGCCAAGGUGAGCGGUUCCUGGUAGUAAGCUUGGGAGUGGAGGAAGAAGCGAAUGCGCAGGCUGAAGCGCAAAAGAAGAAAGAUGAGGCAGAGGUCCAAGUAAACCGCUAGCUUGUUGCACCGUGGUGGCCACAGGAGCAGAAACAUGGAAUGCCAGACGCUGGGGAUGCUGGUACAAGUUGUGGGACUGCAUGCUACUGUCUAGAGCUUGUCUCAAUGGAUCUAGAACUUCAUCGCCCUCUGAUCGCCGAUCACCUCUGAGACCCACCUUGCUCAUAAACAAAAUGCC